UAGGACAUAUUCUCAGUUUGAGGUAGAUGUUCCUCCAGAGUUUGUUCAACAUGAUCAGAGUGGGCUGCGUUUAUGUUUUAGUGAUAUUCCUCAUAGGUUUUUCUCACAGCAAUCGUGUUGACCAAUCUCCUCUACAUGUGUUUAAAAACAAAGGAGAAAAUGCUAAAAUUGAUUGUUCACACAGUGUUCCGAGUUACAACCAGGUUAACUGGUACAAACAAACCCAGGACCAGAGCUUAGCUCUUAUUGGAUAUCGCUUAGGGGAGAGCAGCGAAUUCAAGGAAGAAGACUUUAAGAAUAAAGUGGACAUCACUGGAAAUGGAAACAACAAUGUCUCUUUGACCAUCAAAGAUCUCUCAGUCUCAGACAGUGCAGUGUAUUUCUGUGCUGCUUAUUACACAGUGCUGCAGAGCUGCUCUACUGAGACAGUGGUGUCACUCAAAGCCCCAGUAUACUCAUGGUUUCUAAUGGAAAACCUGCUGAAAUGCACUGCAAGCAUGAUAUGGGAAGCACUUACCGCUACAUGUACUGGUUCCAACAACACCAAGGGGAAUCUAUGA